ensembl:lncRNA
GGAAGUCCGAAGUUCUCCAGACCCGGAGCGGGGAGAAGGUGAGUCUGGAAUUCCAGGAAUCCCAGGAAUUCCGGGAAUCCCAGAAAUCCCAGCCCCUCCUGGCCCUUCCCCCCCCUCCCUGAGCCCCCCGGGCCCUUCCCGGGGCCCUUCCCGCUUUUCCAGACCCUGAAAUUCCUGCGCAAUUCCCGCCUGGAGGUCGGGAUGAGGAACAACGUCCCGUGGGAGCUGAACCCCGAGAUCGUGGCCCGGCACUUCCUCAAGAACGUGAGCCAGUCCCAGCAUUCCCAACAUUCCCAGUGUCCCCAGCAUUCCCAACAGUCCCAGCAUUCCCAACAUUCCCGACAUUCCCAGCAUUCCUGACAUUCCCAGCAUUCCCAGCAUUCCUGGCCCCAAAUCCUGGGAUUUGCCCUUCCCAGCACCCAAAUCCCAGGAUUUGGGGUCAUUCCUGGCAUUUUUGGGGGUCAUUCCCAAGAUUAUUUGGGGUCAUUCCCAGCAUUCCCAACAUUCCCAACAUUCCCAGCAUUCCCAGCAUUCCCAACAUUCCUGGCCCCAAAUCCUGGGAUUUGGGGUCAUUCCUGGCAUUUUUUGGGGUCAUUCCCGAGAUUUUUUGGGGUCAUUCCCAGCAUUCCCUGAUUUUUGGGAUCUUUCCUGGGUUUCUUUGGGGUCAUUCCCUGAUUUUUGGGGUCAUUCCCAGCAUUCCUUGGGGUCAUUCCAGGGAUUCUUUGGGGUCAUUCCCUCCAUUCCCUGAUUUUUGGGGUCAUUCCCAGGAUUCUUUAGGAUCAUUGCCAGCAUUCCUUGGGGUCAUUCCCUGAUUUUUGGGGUCAUUCCCAGCAUUCCUUGGGGUCAUUCCCUGAUUUUUGGGGUCAUUCCCAGCAUUCCUUGGGGUCAUUCCCUGAUUUUUGGGGUCAUUCCCAGCAUUCCUUGGGGUCAUUCCCUGAUUUUUGGGGUCAUUCCCAGCAUUCCUUGGGGUCAUUCCCUGAUUUUUGGGGUCAUUCCCAGCAUUCCUUGGGGUCAUUCCCUGAUUUUUGGGGUCAUUCCCAGCAUUCCUUGGGGUCAUUCCCAGGAUUCUUUGGGGUCAUUCCCUGAUUUCUGGGGUCAUUCCCAGCAUUCCUUGGGGUCAUUCCAGGGAUCCUUUGGGCUCAUUCCCAGGAUUCCUUGGGGUCAUUCCCUGAUUUUUGGGGUCAUUCCUGGGUUUCUUUGGGGUCAACCCCGACAUCGUGGCCCGGCACUUCCUCAAGAACGUGAGACAGUCCCAGCAUUCCCAACAUUCCCAGCAUUCCCAGCAUUCCCAGCAUUCCCGGCCCCAAAUCCUGGGAUUUGCCCUUCCCAGCACCCAAAUCCCGGGAUUUGGGGUCAUUCCUGGCAUUUUUUGGGGGUCAUUCCCAAGAUUAUUUGGGGUCAUUCCCAGCAUUCCCAACAUUCCCAACAUUCCCAGCAUUCCCAGCAUUCCCAACAUUCCUGGCCCCAAAUCCUGGGAUUUGGGGUCAUUCCUGGCAUUUUUUGGGGUCAUUCCCGAGAUUUUUUGGGGUCAUUCCCAGCAUUCCCUGAUUUUUGGGAUCUUUCCUGGGAUUCCUUGGGGUCAUUCCCUGAUUUUUGGGGUCAUUCCUGGGAUUCCUUGGGGUCAUUCCCUGAUUUUUGGGGUCAUUCCUGGGUUUCUUUGGGGUCAACCCCGACAUCGUGGCCCGGCACUUCCUCAAGAACGUGAGACAGUCCCAGCAUUCCCAACAUUCCCAGCAUUCCCAGCAUUCCCAGCAUUCCCGGCCCCAAAUCCUGGGAUUUGCCCUUCCCAGCACCCAAAUCCCGGGAUUUGGGGUCAUUCCUGGCAUUUUUUGGGGUCAUUCCUGAGAUUUUUUGGGGUCAUUCCCAAGAUUAUUUGGGGUCAUUCCCAGCAUUCCCAACAGUCCCAGCAUUCCCAGCAUUCCCGACAUUCCUGGCCCCAUAUCCCGGGAUUUGCCCUUCCCAGCAUCCAAAUUCCAGGAUUUGGGGUCAUUCCUGGCAUUUUUGGGGGUCAUUCCUGAGAUUUUUUGGGGUCAUUCCCAGGUUUCCUUGGGCUCAUUCCCACAUUCCCAUUCCCAGCUGGGGGUGUUCCCCCAUUCCCAAUUCCCCCAUUCCCAGGUUCAUUCCCAGUGUCAUUCCCACAUUCCCAGCUGGGGGUGUUCCCCCAUUCCCAUUCCCGUUCCCAGUGUCCAUUCCCCCAUUCCCAGUGUUAUUCCCAUUCCUAGCUGGGGGUGUUCCCCCAUUCCCAUUGUUAUUCCCCCAUUCCCAGACUCAUUCCCAUUCCCAGGGCUCAUUCCCAGUGUUCA